rnacentral:rRNA from 1 species
UAAAAAAAAAAAAAUUUAACUCGUCAGGACGAACGCUGGCGGCGUGCCUAAUACAUGCAAGUCGAACGCUUCUUUUUCCACCGGAGCUUGCUCCACCGGAAAAAGAAGAGUGGCGAACGGGUGAGUAACACGUGGGUAACCUGCCCAUCAGAAGGGGAUAACACUUGGAAACAGGUGCUAAUACCGUAUAACAAUCAAAACCGCAUGGUUUUGAUUUGAAAGGCGCUUUCGGGUGUCGCUGAUGGAUGGACCCGCGGUGCAUUAGCUAGUUGGUGAGGUAACGGCUCACCAAGGCCACGAUGCAUAGCCGACCUGAGAGGGUGAUCGGCCACAUUGGGACUGAGACACGGCCCAAACUCCUACGGGAGGCAGCAGUAGGGAAUCUUCGGCAAUGGACGAAAGUCUGACCGAGCAACGCCGCGUGAGUGAAGAAGGUUUUCGGAUCGUAAAACUCUGUUGUUAGAGAAGAACAAGGAUGAGAGUAACUGUUCAUCCCUUGACGGUAUCUAACCAGAAAGCCACGGCUAACUACGUGCCAGCAGCCGCGGUAAUACGUAGGUGGCAAGCGUUGUCCGGAUUUAUUGGGCGUAAAGCGAGCGCAGGCGGUUUCUUAAGUCUGAUGUGAAAGCCCCCGGCUCAACCGGGGAGGGUCAUUGGAAACUGGGAGACUUGAGUGCAGAAGAGGAGAGUGGAAUUCCAUGUGUAGCGGUGAAAUGCGUAGAUAUAUGGAGGAACACCAGUGGCGAAGGCGGCUCUCUGGUCUGUAACUGACGCUGAGGCUCGAAAGCGUGGGGAGCAAACAGGAUUAGAUACCCUGGUAGUCCACGCCGUAAACGAUGAGUGCUAAGUGUUGGAGGGUUUCCGCCCUUCAGUGCUGCAGCUAACGCAUUAAGCACUCCGCCUGGAGAGCG